GAGUUUGAUCGUGGCUCAGAUUGAACGCUGGCGGCAGGCCUAACACAUGCAAGUCGAGCGGAUGGCGGGAGCUUGCUCCUUGAUUCAGCGGCGGACGGGUGAGUAAUGCCUAGGAAUCUGCCUGGUAGUGGGGGACAACGUUUCGAAAGGAACGCUAAUACCGCAUACGUCCUACGGGAGAAAGCAGGGGACCUUCGGGCCUUGCGCUAUCAGAUGAGCCUAGGUCGGAUUAGCUAGUUGGUGGGGUAAUGGCUCACCAAGGCGACGAUCCGUAACUGGUCUGAGAGGAUGAUCAGUCACACUGGAACUGAGGCACGGUCCAGACUCCUACGGGAGGCAGCAGUGGGGAAUAUUGGACAAUGGGCGAAAGCCUGAUCCAGCCAUGCCGCGUGUGUGAAGAAGGUCUUCGAUUGUAAAGCACUUUAAGUUGGAGGAAGGGCAGUAAGUUAAUACCUUGCUGUUUUGACGUUACCGACAGAAUAAGCACCGGCUAACUCUGUGCC
rnacentral:rRNA from 1 species